AGGCAAGGAGGGGAAGUAGAGAGUAAGAGAUCAAGCUUGUCCCCUCUCUCCUGCUGGUGGGUUGCAAGAAGGGGAUUACAUGUGUGGUGGAAGCACAGCCUGUAAAUAAAAGCACCAGGUGGGCACUGCACUAAAAGUCCCUGUGUGACUUUCUCAGCCCAGCAGGGGACAGGAGGUCCCUGCAGGGAUGCUGCUACACAUAGGGGCUUGUCUGGGAUUGUGCCAGAGCAAGAGUUUGGCAGUCUGAAAUGGAAGAGACCUUGCAGUGACUGAUCAAGCAGCAGGGAAAGCUGCAGAAGGCGGUGGAAAGCUUCAAGCACCCCCAGCAGCUGGAGAAGCAGGCCCUGCUCAGCUGGCAAGAUGAGCAGCAGAAGAGCCUGCAAGGUUUUAUUCGGGAGCAGACCACUGUUCAACAUCAGCUCCUCCAGAAGGUGGCUAUGAUACUGUUUUCCAUAUGGCUGGGUACAAUAUUUAUGGGGAAACAUGGACUUCAGAGAAACUUGGAGAAGGAUGUUCUACAGAAUGAAACAAUCAUUUCAGCAGAAAAGUUCAUCUGCAACAUGUACAAUUUAUCUGAUGAGCAGAGCUGCCACAGAUAGGAACAUAGAGAAGAAGGAAGGUGUAUGACUGUCCUGAGGGCCACAGGGAUUCUCCCAUUCAUUUCAUGGAAUCUACAGAUAAGGUACUCAGCAAAGGUGGAUUGGUGCUCUUGGGACUGGUGGAGAAUGGCAG